AUACGGAGGGUGCAAGCGUUACUCGGAAUCACUGGGCGUAAAGCGCGCGCAGGCGGUCUUUUAAGUUGGAUGUGAAAGCCUACGGCUCAACCGUAGAACUGCAUCCCAAACUAUUAGACUAGAGUGUGGGAGAGGAAGAUGGAAUUAGUUGUGUAGGGGUAAAAUCCGUAGAGAUAACUAGGAAUACCAAAAGCGAAGGCAAUCUUCUGGAACACUACUGACGCUGAGGCGCGAAAGCGUGGGGAGCAAACAGGAUUAGAAACCCCAGUAGUCC
rnacentral:rRNA from 1 species